GGGUCAGUAGGUUGGUCGUGCCACCGGUACGUACUGGUCUCACUGAUUCCUCCUUCCUGAAGAACCGUAAUGCCAUUAAUUUGGUGUUGCGGGGAAACAGGACUGUUACUUUGAAAAAAUUAGAGUGUUUAAAGCAAGCUAACGCCUGAAUAUAUUAGCAUGGAAUAAUGAAAUAGGACGAUCGAUCCUAUUUUGUUGGUUUCUAGGAUUGACGUA
rnacentral:rRNA from 1 species